rnacentral:rRNA from 1 species
UACGGAGGAGGCAAGCGUUAUCCGGAUUUAUUGGGCGUAAAGAGCGUGCAGGUGGUUUGGAAAGUUGGGUAUGAAAUCUCCUGGCUUAACUGGGAGAGGUUGCUCAAAACUACCAGACUAGAGGACGGUAGAGGAAGGUGGAAUUCCCGGUGUAGUAGUGAAAUGCGUAGAUAUCGGGAGGAACACCAGUGGCGAAGGCGGCCUUCUGGGCCGUUCCUGACACUCAGACGCGAAAGCAUGGGGAGCAAACGGG